rnacentral:lncRNA from 1 species
GAGAGUAAAGAAAAAAAAAGAGUUGAUUAGAAACUUGGAAAAGUGAGUUUUUAUGAAAGGGUGAAAAUAUGAAAAGAAACAAGAAAAAGAAAUCACCCUUGAAACCAUAGAGCAAAGAAAAAAAAGAAAAAAAAAAAAAAGAAAAAAAAUCAAAGAAAAUGCUCAUGGUUGUGUGGAUGUAAAAAGAAAAAAAAAUAGGGAUCAAAGAAAGGGGAAUUGUGUAGAGUUGAAUGUUGGGGAAUGCUCCCUUAGGAUAGACAACUUUGUUGAAUUCUCUUAAUCAUAUCCUUUCUUGUAGCCUAAGCCACAUUACAACCUUUGAAAGACCUCUUGAUUCUCAUUUUUCACAUGAUUUGGUAUUUGUUGUGAUAACCGCAUGAUUUGAAUUGUUGUUGAUUUAAUUGCUUGGAUGAGUGAAAGUAACCCUUCAUGUUAUUCAUCAUUAU